AUUUAGCUGAAUAGGAUGGCGGUCUGCUGGCGGGCCUUCUGUUGCACGGAAACCAGGAGGAACAACAUCCUGAAACCAGCUGUUGUCAGUGCUGGUUAAGGCUGAGAUGUGAGGUGUCCCCAGAGCUCAACUUAAGAAAGUCCAGAGGUGGAAUCUGGGUCAGGAGAGCCUUAACCCAAUCAGUGCACUCAUCCCCUGAUAGGGAUGCAGUGGAUGGGACUUCAGGCUGGUAGGGUGGCUGGAGACCCUAGGGGUCUGACUUUGGGGUUUUUGCUCAGUCUGUGGUGGGGGGGAAGAGUCUCUCUGCUUCCUGGUGCUAUGUCCUGAGCUGCUUUCCUCCACCACUUCUUUCCACCAUGAUGUUCUGCCUCAUCUCCAGCCCUGAGGAAUGGAGUCUACCCUCUAUGGACUGAGCCAUCUGAAAUCAUGAGCCCCAAAUAAACUUUUCCUCCUUAAGAUUGUUCUUUUUAGGUCUUUUGGUCACAGUUGGCAGAAAAGCUGACUUAAACAGUACUGUAAUACCAACGCUUUCCAGGCCCCUCUGUAGGUAAUAUUCCUAUGUGGCAUGUAAAUCCUGCCACAGGGAAGGUCACGGUUGCUGGGAAUCAGCUUGACCAAAGAGUGCCCAUGAGCUCGGGCCAUGAGGUCAAACUGGCUUUGAAUUGGCUUCUUGAUAUCUGUGAACCUUGUAGUUAGCUCUUCUGUGCUUCAUUUUAUGCUGCAGUCUGGCUGGGCACAAAUCACGAGCCACUCAAGCAGGAACAAACUUUAUUUCCGAACUCCCCCUAACGCCACCCAUGCGGCCCUUCCAGGGACACCACACACCAACUGGAACUCCCUCUACCCGGAACUUCACCAACCAACUCGAACUCCCCAGGAAUCCCCGGGAGAACUCCAAAGUAGCGGCGGACAGCAGGGGUCUAUAUNUCUAGUCCAACUUAUUGCUGACAUGUGAAGUUUGACCAGGAGUAAAGAACAGGGGGAGUGGGCAGGGUCCAAGCCUGAAAAAUUUCAGAUGUCACUGAGCACUUCUCUUGGCCAUGGGUAAGAAAAGAGCAUUUGGGGAAAGUGAAGUGGCAUUCCCUUGGCAGAGGUCACAUCCGCCUGCUCAGACAGUCCUGACUGGCUGAUUUGAUCCAUCAAUUAAGCCAGGCACAUUCCACCUAUGUGUACCUGCUGGCAGAGAUGAUGUUGCCACUAUCAUUUAGAAUUAUUGCUAUUUUAAAAAUUUAGUAGACUGCAUUUUUGAAGCAGUUUUAGGCUUAUAGACUAAUCAAGCUGAAAGUGGCAUCUCCUCACUGGUAUUGUUUCCUCACUAAGAACAUCUGGCCUUAGCGUGGUGUAUUUGUUAUAAUGGAUGAAUUGAUACUCAUACACUGUUAUUCCCUUAAGUCUUCAGUUUACAUUAGGGCUCAUUCCUGGCUUUGUAUGAUUUAUAGCUCUUGACAAAUGUGGAAUGACAGGUAUUCACCAAUGCCACACUUGCGGAGAGUUUCAGAUCCUCUGCUCUCCACCCAGUCACCCCUCUCCCCUCUGUAACAACCAGACUUACAUCUGCACAGUGUUAGCAUUCUAGAGUGAUUUAUAAUUUGAAUCACACAAAACAUAACCUUUUCAGACUGGCUUCUUUCACUUGGGAAUAGACAUUGAAGGCUCCUGCAUAUCUUUUCAUGGCUCGUAUUUUAUUUUUAUUGCUGAAUAAUAUUCCAGUGUAUGGAUGUACCCCUGUUUCUUUAUCCUUUCACCAACUGAAAGACAUAUGGGUUGCUUCCAAACCUUGGUAAUUGUAUAAAGGUGCUGUAAGAAAGGAAUAAAUAGACCUUUAAAUUUACCUAGAAACUUAUACAAGAACAGUUGUACGUAAAGUAAAAGGGGGAAGAAGAAAGGAGAGUUGAGGGAACAUAUAUUAAUUGCUACUUCCUUGAAAUCUUAAAAAAGCAGUUGAGUGCAGUGACACAGUUUGUAAUGCCAGCAAAUUGGGAGACUGAGGCCGGAGGAUUGCAAGUUUGAGGCCAGCUGCAUUAACUUAGUCAUACCCUCAGUAACUUAGUAAAACCUGGUCUCAAAACAGCUGGGGAUGCAGCUCAGUGGUGAAACUCUCCUGGGUUCAAUACCCAGGACAAAAAAAAAAAAACACAAAAAAACCCCAAAAUCAAAAACAAUAGAAAAGGCAAUCACACUGCAUAUAUACUCCCUAAGGCUUUCCAGAGCUGAAAUUUCACUAUACAGUGUUUUAAAGUAGGUCAUAUCAAUAGGCUUUACCAUUCUGCCAUCCCAUAAGCUUCAAAAUUUCCUCUGCAGAUAAAAGAACAACUUUCAUCAUCAAAUUCACUAGAAAAAAUCAGUAAAAAUUUACAUAAAAGAAAUAGUCAAAACAAAGUACAUGUAUAAAGACACGAAUUGAUGUGAACACACUUUAUAUACAAAGAUAUGAAAAAAUGUUCUCUAUAUGUG
rnacentral:lncRNA from 1 species